rnacentral:rRNA from 1 species
GACGAACGCUGGCGGCGUGCUUAACACAUGCCAGUCGAACGGAAAGGCCCUGCUUUUGUGGGGUGCUCGAGUGGCGAACGGGUGAGUAACACGUGAGUAACCUGCCCUUGACUUUGGGGUAACUUCAGGAAACUGGGGCUAAUACCGGAUAGGAGCUCCUGCUGCAUGGUGGGGGUUGGAAAGUUUCGGCGGUUGGGGAUGGACUCGCGGCUUAUCAGCUUGUUGGUGGGGUAGUGGCUUACCAAGGCUUUGACGGGUAGCCGGCCUGAGAGGGUGACCGGCCACAUUGGGACUGAGAUACGGCCCAGACUCCUACGGGAGGCAGCAGUGGGGAAUAUUGCACAAUGGGCGGAAGCCUGAUGCAGCAACGCCGCGUGCGGGAUGACGGCCUUCGGGUUGUAAACCGCGUUCGCCUGUGACGAAGCGUGAGUGACGGUAAUGGGUAAAGAAGCACCGGCUAACUACGUG